GUUAGCUUACUCCUUUCUGCCUGUGGAUGCUGCCGAGGAAGCAUCGUUAAAGUCUCUCUUCCCACUGCCUUCAUGUCUAAGUCAGAGUCUCCUAAAGAGCCCGAACAGCUGCGGAAGCUAUUCAUUGGAGAGUUGAGCUUUGAAACGACUGAUGAGAGUCUGAGGAGCCAUUUUGAGCAAUGGGGAAUGCUCACAGACUGCGUGGUAAUGAGAGAUCCAAACACCAAGCGCUCCAGGGGCUUUGGGUUUGUCACAUACGCCACUGUGGAGGAGGUGGAUGCAGCAAUGAAUGCAAGGCCACACAAAGUGGAUGGAAGAGUCGUGGAACCAAAGAGAGCUGUUUCCAGAGAGGAUUCUUAAAGACCUGGUGCCCAUUUAACUGUGAAAAAGAUCUUUGUUGGUGGCAUUAAAGGAGAUACUGAAGGACAUCACUUAAGAGACUAUUUUGAACAGUAUGGGAAAACUGAAGUGAUUGAAAUCAUGACUGACCGAGGCAGUGGCAAGAAGAGGGGCUUUGCUUUUGUUACGUUUGAUGACCAUGAUUCUGUGGAUAAGAUUGUCAUUCAGAAAUACCAUACUGUGAAUGGCCACAACUUUGAAGUAAGGAAAGCCCUGUCAAAGCAAGAGAUGGCUAGUGCUUCGUCCAGCCAAAGAGGUCUAAGUGGUUCUGGAAACUUUGGUGGGGGUCGUGGAGGUGGUUUUGGUGGAAAUGACAACUUUGGCCGUGGAGGAAACUUCAGUGGUCGUGGUGGCUUUGGUGGCAGCCGUUGUGGUGGUGGAUAUGGUGGCAGUGGGGAUGGCUACAAUGGAUUUGGUAAUGAUGGAAGCAAUUUUGGAGGUGGUGGAAGUUACAAUGAUUUUGGCAAUUUACAACAAUCAGUCAUCAAAUUUUGGACCUAUAAAGGGAGGAGAUUUUGGAGGCGGAAGCUCUGGCCCUUAUGGUGGUGGUGGCCAAUACUUUGCCGAACCACAAAACCAAGGUGGCUAUGGUGGUUCCAGUAGCAGCAGUAGCUAUGGCAGUGGCAGAAGGUUUUAAUUAUUCCCAGGAAACAAAGCUUAGCAGGAGAGGAGAGCCAGAGAAGUGACAGGGAAGCUACAGGUUACAACAGAUUUGUGAACUCAGCCAAGCACAGUGGUGGCAGGGCCUACCUGCUACAAAGAAGACAUGUUUUAGACAAUACUCAUGUGUAUGGGCAAAAAACUCGAGGACUGUGUUUGUGGCUAAUUGUAUAACAGGUUAUUUUAGUUUCUGUUCUGUGGAAAGUGUAAAGCAUUCCAACAAAGGGUUUUAAUGUAGAUUUUUUUUUUUUGCACCCAUGCUGUUGAUUGCUAAAUGUAAUAAUAGUCUGAUCAUGACGCUGAAUAAAUGUCUUUUUUU